AUGACAACCUUUUCAACUGAAUUCUUAUCACACACUCUCAAUCUUAGAAACCACCCAAACCGCACUUCUCGCCAUUCAAAUCCCAACACUAUCGUCACUUCCUCAACCCCGCGCAACACCAACAACCGAAGAACAAGAAUCAGGGUCAAUGAAACAAGGCCAAAACUUGAUUGGGGUUAUAAACCUGAUGUCACGAGAGCUCUCAUUAGGUCAUUCAAAUCAGAAAACCCGGAAAGCUAUUCGGGUCUUGCAGAUUUUGGAAAAGCACGGCCAGCCUGA